UGGUUUAUACAAUCAUCAACUCCUUUUUCAUUCACUUUUAUUUUUUCAAAUAUAAAAGGCAUGUAAAUCUACUCAUUGGUCUUCAACUUUUUAUCUCCUAAACACACCUAAAACCCUAUCCUAGUUCCUAUCUCCUUCCCACUCAACUUCUUCACUUUAAUUUUUUUCGCUCCUUCACCUUUUAUUCUUAUUCUUCUUCUCAUUUCCAUUAUAGAAAUAAAUACAAAAGCAAAACAAAAGAAGCAAAAAUGAAAGAUAGAAAUGAAAGGUGAAGAAGUGAAGAGAACUAAGAUAAAGAAGAUGAAGAGGAAGGAGAGAGGAAUCAGGGUUCGAGAGACAAAGAAGAUCAUAAGCUAUGAGUGUGUGUCUUUAUAUAUGAAUAUAUUGAGGAAAGGAAAAAAAAAAGAAGUAUAAAGGGAUGGAAGGAGACUACAAAAAGAAGUCCUCUUCUAGAAAAUCGGCUCUUACCUGUUAAAGGUGCCCUUCAAACAUUUAAUAUAACUUAAAAUUGUAUUUACCAUUAAUUUUACUAGUUUUCAUUAUAGUUUCAUUUCAAACUAUUCUUUUUUUCAUGUCUAAGCCUACAUAGUUGUCUUAACAAUCCUUAAUAUUUGAAAUUGUAUGGGUCAUAAUGUUUAAAAAUUAUUAAAGAAAAAGUCAUCCUAAAAUUCUUUUUAUAUAAGAACUUCUUAAACAUUGUAUACAGUGGGCCACCCCAUUAACCCAUCUAUUUACAAACAAGUCCAAAAUGGUUC
rnacentral:lncRNA from 1 species